rnacentral:rRNA from 1 species
UAGGGAAUAUUGGGCAAUGGUCGAGAGACUGACCCAGCCAUGCCGCGUGCAGGAAGACGGCCUUAUGGGUUGUAAACUGCUUUUAUACGGGGGUAAUACUAGCUACGAGUAGUUAGAUGAAAGUACCGUAAGAAUAAGGAUCGGCUAACUCCGUGCCAGCAGCCGCGGUAAUACGGAGGAUCCAAGCGUUAUCCGGAUUUAUUGGGUUUAAAGGGUGCUCAGGCGGAAGGCUAAGUCAGUGGUGAAAUUUAUUCGCUUAACGAAUACACUGCCAUUGAUACUGUCCAUCUAGAUUAGAAUUGACGUGGGAGGAAUAUGUCAAGUAGCGGUGAAAUGCGUAGAUAUGACAUAGAACGCCGAUCGGGAAGCCGUCUCACGAAGUUUAUAAUGACGCUCAAGCACGAAAGCGUGGGGAUCAAACA